CUUGGGGGAGCAGGAUGUGAAAUGACAUGACUUGUUUGAAUUUGCAUUUCCCUGUUAGGUUGAACAGUUUCUCAAUGGUUAUUUGUCAUCCAAGCUUUGUCUCUAAAUUUCCUCUUCUGUUAAGGUUUCCCCCCAUUUUUCUAUAGGAUGAUUUUUUUUCACAAUUUAAGUGUUUGUGUGUGUAUGUGAUACUAAUAAUUCAUUAUCACUGUAGACAUGAAGAUGUGCCUCUGACAUUUCCCUUAAGGAAAGGACUUGCUAAUUGAGUUAAGGAGCUUGAGAGGAAGGGAUCAUCCUGGAUUAUCUGGGUAGGCCCCAAAUCCAAUGAUGGUGUCCUUAUUAACAGAGGGGCAGAGGGAGGUUUGAGACAGACAUGCAGAGUAGAGAGGUGGACAGAACAGAAUAGGCAGAGAGGAGAAGGUCAAGUGAGGCGGAAGUAGACAUCAAUGGCCUGUCUCCUCCCUGGCCAAAGCUGACUGGGCAAGAGAAGGACCCAUGAGCUGAGCCAACCCCUGUGGCUGACCAGUGGCCUGGCAGGCAUUGCCCAUUGAGGAAAGGUGCUUUCACAGGAAGGCUGCAGUACAUUGGGGUGGGGUGCCCAUGCUGGGCCAUGUGUGGGACAAGGAGAAACAGAAGAAUCUAGUCUUGGAGAAAUGGUGGCCGUGGUGAUGUGGAGAGAGAAGCAGGGAUGAAGGAGACCUGGGAAGCCCUGGCAUUUCCAGAUGCCCUGAAAUUGAAUUGUUUCCUGCGGCUGUCUGCACACCCAGACCAGAGCAGUUCCUGCCUUUGCGCUUUGCACCAUUUUCCUUGGUGAACUUCUAUUCAUCCUUCAAAGCCCAGCAGUAAUCAUCCUUUAGAAAGUCUUCUUUCAGAGGGAACCAAAAAGGUAAUCGCUGGAGACAGACAGAUGCUGCCUGAAUGCCUGUUGUGUUGUGUGGUUGUGGGAAUGUUACUUCACCUCUCCGUGCCUCAGUUUCCUCAGCUGUAAUGGGGAUGGUAACAGUGUCUAGGGGUACUGCUUGGAAUGCACAUAGGGAGAUGAGUGAAGGCCCAGCACUAGAAGAGUGCAGGCACUAGCAGAGUGCAGGCGCAAUUGCUGCUGGGACCAGCAGGUAACUCGCAUCCAAGUUACAGUGCCCAGCCCCAGCAGCAGCCUCAGCACCAGGCAGAGUGUGCUCAGCACUGUGGGGGGCCAAGAGGACUUGAGGGCCGCUGGUCUGUGAUUCUCUCAUCUCUUUUGAGGUUCAGGACUUGGCGUCUCUCCUAGAAGCUCUGGGGAACCUGACAAAUCCUCCAGGAGGACACAGAACGCAGGAAGGGCUGGCUCGGGGUGCACCAAGAUGGCUGCCCCGAGACACCGUAUCUGAGGGCUUGGGUGGAACUGAGGAGAGGGCGGCUGGGAAGGCCAUCCGGGAGGAAAGGGCAGACGGCUACGGCAGCGUCAGGUGGUACAGUUUGCCCCGGAAGUGAGGUAAAGAAGAGAGCGGGAGGAGAGAGGGCCACAUGCCUCUCAGCCAUGGCCCUGAAUGCUGGCUUGGCUGAGCCUCAUCUUUGCUGUUUGCAGAAUGGGGAGAAUUGUGCCUGCCCAGCCUCCUCCUUGGGGACUCCAGGGGCCCAAAGAACCAAGAGCUGCAAAUGUCCUGGUGGCCUUGGAAGUUUAUGGAUGGUACAGAUCUGGGGUGGAGGGCAUGGCCAGGACAGGGAGGGCUGUCAGAGAGAGGGUCUGUGGGUUUGUGGAGUGUGGGGAUCAGUCGCUGACUCAUUAGAUGAACCAGGAGCCUGCAUGCUACAGCCCACCUGCCAAAUCUUGCCCCCACCUGCUUUUUAAAAUAAAGUUU
rnacentral:lncRNA from 10 species